UUUGAUCAUGGCUCAGAUUCAACGCGGUUAUGCAGGCCUAACACAUGCAAGUCGAGCGGCAGCACAAGUAAGUUUACUUAUGAGGUGGCGAGCGGCGGACGGGUGAGUAAUGCCUAGGGAUCUGCCCAGUCGAGGGGGAUAACAGUUGGAAACGACUGCUAAUACCGCAUACGCCCUACGGGGGAAAGGAGGGGACCUUCGGGCCUUCCGCGAUUGGAUGAACCUAGGUGGGAUUAGCUAGUUGGUGAGGUAAUGGCUCACCAAGGCGACGAUCCCUAGCUGUUCUGAGAGGAUGAUCAGCCACACUGGGACUGAGACACGGCCCAGACUCCUACGGGAGGCAGCAGUGGGGAAUAUUGCACAAUGGGGGAAACCCUGAUGCAGCCAUGCCGCGUGUGU
rnacentral:rRNA from 1 species